UAAGGGGCCACUUUUGUUUCAAAGGAGGCUGGGCAAGUGACUGCCGGCUGCCCCAUUCCCAUAAGGAGCUCUGCCAUGGCAAGGGGUGGGCCUGCCCAGCCAUGUGCCGCAGAAAGUACUGGAAAAUUGGGUGGUGAUGAAUGAAAAGUUAUGCGAUGAUGGUACAGAGUGCAUGCCUUAGUAGGAGAGUUCUGAGGAAGUUUCGGCAAGGACUGUUUUGGAUAUGUGCCGAGUCAUGCCAUGUUGCCUGGUGGAUGUCACCCACCUGUCACAGACUUCGUGAGCAUCUGGGUGGAUGCGUGUUGGGGUUGGCGAGGUGAGCAUUCAUGAACCUCAUGGGAAUAUCAUGAAGAGACGUGCAUAUUUCUGGAAUUCAUUUUACUUGAGCGAUCGAUAAAAGAUUGAAGAUAUUUUUAAAGGAAUAAACAUUAUAUCAUCUUUCCCA
rnacentral:lncRNA from 1 species